UUAUUUGAGAGUUUGAUCCUGGCUCAGGAUGAACGCUGGCGGCGUGCCUAACACAUGCAAGUUGAGCGAUUUACUUCGGUAAAGAGCGGCGGACGGGUGAGUAACGCGUGGGUAACCUACCCUGUACACACGGAUAACAUACCGAAAGGUAUGCUAAUACGGGAUAAUAUAUUUGAGAGGCAUCUCUUGAAUAUCAAAGGUGAGCC
rnacentral:rRNA from 1 species